AGUGAACGCUGGCGGUAGGCCUAACACAUGCAAGUCGAACGGCAGCACAGUAAGAGCUUGCUCUUACGGGUGGCGAGUGGCGGACGGGUGAGGCAUACAUCGGAAUCUACUUUUUCGUGGGGGAUAACGUAGGGACACUUACGCUAAUACCGCAUACGACCUACGGGUGAAAGCAGGGGAUCUUCGGACCUUGCGCGAUUGAAUGAGCCGAUGUCGGAUUAGCUAGUUGGCGGGGUAAAGGCCCACCAAGGCGACGAUCCGUAGCUGGUCUGAGAGGAUGAUCAGCCACACUGGAACUGAGACACGGUCCAGACUCCUACGGGAGGCAGCAGUGGGGAAUGUUGGACAAUGGGCGCAAGCCUGAUCCAGCCAUACCGCGUGAGUGAAGAAGGCCUUCGGGUUGUAAAGCCCUGUUGUUGGGAAAGAAAAGCAGCAGGUUAAUACCCCGCUGUUCUGACGGUACCCAAAGAAUAAGCACCGGCUAACUUCGUG
rnacentral:rRNA from 1 species